GCCAGUGUAGCUCAGUAGAUAGAGUGUCGGCCUGCGGACCGAAGGGUCCUGAGUUCGAUUCCCGUCACAGGCU
rnacentral:tRNA from 1 species